AAGCAAGUUACGUAAGGGCUGUCGGUGGAUGCCUUGGGAGAAGUAGACGAUGAAGGACGUAGCAGGCUGCGAUAAGCCUCGGGUAGGUGCCAAGCAACCUUUAAUCCGGGGAUUUCCGAAUGGGGUAACCCCCCCUCACUAAUUUUUGUGCGCAAUGCAUAAUUAGAAUCGACUAAGAGAUUUUAGUUGGUUUUGUCACAGUCAAGUAUUGCGUGUGAAAAUUAGUGAGGGGACUGCGAUAUUGAAUAUAUAGAUUUCGCAGAGAUAACCACGUGAACUGAAACAUCUUAGUAACGUGAGGAAAAUAGAAAAAUAUUUUAUUCCCUUAGUAGUGGCGAGCGAAAAGGGAAGAGUCUAAACUUUCGUUGUGUUAAAGCCUACUGGCCUUGCAGCGAGAGGGUUAUAAGAGAUUGCAUCUUGAACAGUAGAUCAAGUCAGAAGUCAAAAAUUAUUUUCUUAGCCGAAAGUCUCUGGAAAGAGCUACCAUAGCGAGUGACAGUCUCGUAGGCGAAAAGAAAAUAACUUCGAGCAGUUUUCUUAAGUACGGCGGGACCCGUGAAAUCCUGUCGGAAAUUGCCAGGACCAUCUGGUAAGACUAAAUACUACUUCUCACCGAUAGUGAACUAGUACCGUGAGGGAAAGGUGAAAAGUCCCCCGAGAGGGGAGUGAAAUAGUACCUGAAACUGACAGCCCGUAUAAAAGUCGGAGCCCCUCACUAAUUUUGAGGUGAUCUAUUUUUUGUAGUCCGUGUAUUAAAAAGCAUGGGAUAACAUUAAAAUGAUUACGCCAGAAUUAGUGAGGGGUGACGGCGUGCCUUUUGUAGAAUGAGCCGACGAGUUAAUCUCAACAGCGAGGCUAAGCUUUUAAGAAAGCGGAGCCGUAGCGAAAGCGAGUGUGAAUAGCGCGACUUAGUUGUUGGGAUUAGACCCGAAACCGGGUGAUCUAAUUAUGGUCAGGCUGAAGCUGCCCUAAUAAGCAGUGGAGGGCCGCACCCACUUACGUUGAAAAGUGAGGGGAUGAACUGUGAUUAGCGGAGAAAUUCCAAUCGAACCCGGAGAUAGCUGGUUCUCUUCGAAAUAUAUUUAGGUAUAGCCUCGUGUGUUCGUUGAAGUGGUAGAGCUACUGAAUGGAUUCGGGCGGGAAACCGUACCGCGUCCAAUUAAACUCCGAAUACUUCAUACUCAAUAACACGGGAGUCAGUCUGUGACGGCUAAGCGCCAUGGUCGAGAGGGGAAAAACCCAGACCACCAAUUAAGGUCCCUAAAUUCUAGCUAAGUGUUAAAGGAAGUGGAGAUACAUAAACAACCAGGAGGUUGGCUUAGAAGCAGCCACCCUUUAAAGAAAGCGUAACAGCUCACUGGUCGACGUAUUUCCGCGCCGAAAAUUUAUCGGGGCUCAAGCUAGGUACCGAAGUUGUGGCUGCCGCUGCUUUGCAGCGGUGGAGUAGAAGAGCGUUCUGUUCGGCGGUGAAGCCUGACCGUGAGGUCUGGUGGAGCGGACAGAAGUGAGAAUGUCGGCACGAGUAACGUAACAACGCAGGUGAAAAACCUGCGCGCCGAAAACCUAAGGUUUCCUGGGCUAUGUUAAUCAUCUCAGGGUUAGUCGGUCCUAAGGCGAGGCCGUAAGGCGUAGUCGAUGGACAACAGGUUAAUAUUCCUGUACUACUGUUGAUUCGUCCCAAACUUUGUGCGUUCUACGCCGGAAAGGUUAUCCCUCACUUUCUCGAACUGAUUAUUUUGUUAAAAAUUAUUUACUCAGGUAAGUAGUUUAUCAAAAGAUUGAAAUUGGUUUUAGAAAGUGAGGGACAAACGUCUGGUUGCAGAUGCAUUAAGUUUAGCUAAGGGGUGACGCGGUUUGGUAGAUUGAGCGAGUAUAGGUUUGCUCGUCUAAACUUUUAGUAGGAUCUCUUUGGCAAAUCCGGGAGAUCGGUCUGGCGUAAGCUGGGCAACUGCGAGAAGUGAUAGAAAGCGUUUCGGCUUGCCGGAAUGCAAUUUGAUUGAUCUAAACUGACCGGAAAACCCUCUCUGCGAGAAUUAAUGGUAUCCGUACCACAAACCGACACGGGUAGGUAGGUCGAGUAGACUAAGGCGAUCGAGACAACCCUCUUUAAGGAACUCGGCAAAAAAGCGUCCGUAACUUCGGGAUAAGGACUGCCAGCCAGAUUUUAUUUAUUAAGGUUUGGUUGGCCUCAGCGAAAGAUUUUCAUGCGACUGUUUAGCAAAAACUUAGGUCUCUGCUAACUCGAAAGAGGAUGUAUAGGGACUGAUGCUUGCCCAAUGCCAGAAGGUCACGUAGAUUGGUUAUUCAGAUUUAUCUGGAAAAGCUGAAACAUUAAGCCCUGGUGAAUGGCGGCCGUAACUAUAACGGUCCUAAGGUAGGAAAGAAAGCUGCCUUAGUAAAACUUGGCUAUAUGCUGGAAACUCUGUGUAUCUCACAAUACUAAUUUCUUUGUCAUUCUCGACUAAAUUGUCUUUCUGAUAAUUUACUAUUCGAGAAUCCAAGAUAAAUAAGUGACAAUUUGUGAGUGCAGACAAUCAGCAGGAAACCACGUAUGUUGAGUAGUGGAUAGGAUAAACAAUGUUUGUUGACGAUAUGCCUCAUCUUGUUAGUCCCGGACUCUUAAUCCGGUAAACGACAGGGUGUUGAAGACAUAGCAAUAAACAUUGCCUACUCACAGGGCGAUUCUUCCUAGGAGAAUCGCCUCUACUACUCAACAUAUGUUGGGAUCCUCAGAGACUACACGCCAAGCCAAUUUCUUUUGCCGAAGAAAUUGGAAGAUAUAGUCCGAUCUGCAUGGCGACAUGCAGCCUUGUAAAAGGUUCUGCCAACAGGCAGAAAACAACAAUAAGCGAAAUUCCUUGUCGGGUAAGGCAAUCGGAAACUUGCCCGAAUAUCGUGGUAACGCGAUAUUAGUAAACUGUCUAAUAUCGGUGAAGGCUAAAUCUGGUUCUCUGCCGAUGAAUCAGGUAUGCUAAUACCGAGGGAACAUAUAGUAAUUUCUAGAUGACCCGUAACGACUGAGCCGAAAGGCGAGUUCUGCUUAAAAUAAUUAAGUGGAAAAUACGACAGCUCUUGUUCACAAAAAAAUAAAUUAUGGAGUUAGAAUCAUACAUUGCAGGGUUUACCGAUGGCGAAGGGACCUUUUCGGUUUCUUUCAAUUAUCGAGCAAAGUUCAAAACUAAAGUGGAAGUUCGCCCCAGUUUUUCAAUUUCUCAACAUAAGAGAAAUAAAAAAAUUCUGGAGCAGAUUAGAGAAUAUUUUGGUGUCGGGGGAUUGCGUUUUUCCAAGCGCGACCAAAAUUACAAAUAUGAGGUCAGGUCAAUCAACGAUCUGGUUUCUAAAAUUGUUCCUCAUUUUCGCAAAUAUCCUCUAAAGACUUCCAAACAAAAAGAUUUUGAGAUCUUUGCCAAGAUUUGUCAGUUGGUAAAUGCUAAUCAGCAUCUCAAUCCUAAAUCUCUCAAAGAGAUCAUUGAUUGGGCAUACCAAAUGAACGCCAGUGGUAAACGCCGCUAUAGCAAAUCAGAACUCCUACGGUUUAUGACAAGAUGAAGAUAUAGUCUGAUCCAUCGCGAAAGCGAUUUGGCACAAAGAAGUUCCGACCCGCACGAAUAGCAUAACGAUAUGAAAACUGUCUCAAAGAGGGGCUCGGUGAAACUACAUUGCCGGUGAAGAUGCCGGCUAUGCGCAGCAAGACAAAAAGACCCCGUGGAGCUUUACUACAUCCUGAUACUGAAUUAAGUUUUAGUUUGUGUAGGAUAGGUGGGAGACUUAGAAGCCUGGGCGUUAGCCUGGGUGGAGUCAACGUUGAAAUACCACCCUAAUUAUUUCUUAAUUCUAACCUUUGCCGUAAUCCGGUAUGGGGACAGUGUUUGGUGGGUAGUUUAACUGGGGCGGUUGCCUCCCAAAAAGUAACGGAGGCGUUCAAAGGUUCCCUAGCAUCGAAUGGAAACCGAUGUGAUAGCGCAAUAGCAUAUGGGAGCUUAACUGCGAGACUUACAAGUCCAGCAGAUACGAAAGUAGGAUAUAGUGAUCCGACGGUUGCACAUGGGUGCGCCGAAGCUCAACGAAUAAAAGUUACCCCGGGGAUAACAGGCUUAUCAGGUCCAAGAGUCCACAUCGACGACCUGGUUUGGCACCUUAACCUAUAAGGUUUCGGGGUGCUACAGAAGUAAUUCUGUACCUAAAUAAAUUUGGCUUAUAACGGUGAAAUCCAACUGUUCACUUCAAGUGGUAAAAUGAUAGUGUGAACAAGGACAAUACCGCGGGAAGUCUAUCAUUAGUUCAACACGAAAUUUUAGUGGGGAGUUUACUUGGCGAUGGCACGCUUCGUAAACAAGGCACAAGAAUAAAUGCUUUGUUAGAAGUUAAUCAUUCAUUCAAGUAUCGAGAGUAUGUAGAUUGGAAGCAUAAUAACUUUCAAGAAUAUGUGCUGACUCCACCUAAAGCCCGACGAGGCAAAGGGCCACGUGUUGCCUAUCGAUUCACUACUCAAAGCAUCCCUGUUUUUACCAGUUACUAUAAUUGGUUUUAUAAAAAUAGGGAAAAGAGAGUGCCAAAAGAUCUCAAACUUAGCCCCAUUUCUUUAGCCGUAUGGUUUAUGGAUGAUGGAACUAAAAUUAGAUCAGCUUUUUAUCUGAAUACUCAAGAGUUCACUAUGCAGGAACAAAAAUUUCUGCAGAGAUUACUGCUUGAUGAAUUCGGAAUAGAAAGCACAUUGAAUCGAGAUAAAAAGUAUUGGAGAAUACGGAUUAGUACCGAAAGCACUAAAAAGAUGCUCCAGAUUGUAAAGCCGUAUAUACUUCCAUGCUUUAGGUAUAAACUAGGGUAUGACCCUGUAACGACUGACCCGAAAGGGGAGGCUCUACUGAUUUAGUAGGGCAAUACGCCAACGCCUACAAUCUCAACUCAGGAUAUGGUUAUACAACCUAAGUCCCUGGUGUAGGAUGAAGAUAUAGUCUAUGCCAUUAGUAAUAAUGGAACAUCAUACGAUGUCGGCCCGUCGCAUCCUGGAGGGGAAGCACCUUCCAAGGGUUUGGCUGUUCGCCAAUUAAAGCGGCACGCGAGCUGGGUUCAGAACGUAAAUUACAUUGCGUUCUACGGUAGAAAUACCGUAUAAUAAAUGUGGCUGUAUCGGUGAAACCCUAUCUUUCCAACCGAACGGAAAGAGGGCAAUACCGAGGGAAGAAUAAGAUUAUGUCAGAAAAACUUCUUGCGUAUAUUGCAGGUUUCUUGGAUGGGGACGGUUGUAUUAUGGCUCAAUUAGUCAAGCGUCCCGGAUAUAUUUAUGGCUUUCAAAUCAGAGUGAGCAUAGUGUUUUACCAGAAAACUAAUCACAAAGAUUUUCUGGUUUGGCUCCAAAAUAAAUUCAAAGUCGGAUAUAUCAGGGAUCGUAAUGACGGGAUGACAGAAUAUACCAUUGUCAGUCCCGAGUCAGUUCAGCAAGUGCUCAUAAAACUUUUGCCUUAUUUGCGAUUAAAACGCAAAUUGGCGGAGAAAGUUUUGACACUAUGCCGAAUCAACCUAACCAACAAAAAACCUAUUUCUGCCAGAGAGUUCUUAAGAAGAGCUCGAUUGGUGGAUGAAACUGCUUUAUACAAUUAUUCAAAGAAACGCACAACGACCAGUAAAACUGUUAAAGUUUUUCUUCGACAAAAUAAUCUCAUUCCCCGUAACGACUGAUUCAAAAUUGCUUGGCAAGAGCAAUGAGAUGAGAUGGUUUCUGUCAAAUGACAGAUGCUAUCACACGCCACCGCCUCCUGCAAUAGUUGUGUUGCAAAGGAUGAAGAUAUAGUCUAUGCCAUUAGUAAUAAUGGAAUCACAUGCGUGAGACAGUUCGGUCUCUAUCUGCUGUGCAUGUAGGAAAUUUGAGGAUAGUCACUUCUAGUACGAGAGGACCGAAGUGAACGAACCGCUGGUGUACCAGUUGUUUUACCAAAAGCACCGCUGGGUAGCUAUGUUCGGACAGGAUAAGCGCUGAAAGCAUCUAAGUGCGAAGCCCCAUCCAAAACAGAUUUCCAGUCCGUAAGGAUAAAGGACCCAAGUAGACCACUUGGUUGAUAGGCAACAAGUGUAAGCCCAGUAAUGGGUUGAGCUGAGUUGUACUAAUAGUCCAAUUACUUGACUCU
rnacentral:rRNA from 1 species